AAAAAGUUCUUUUGGGUUUUUCUCUAACGUAUGACAAACCCGAAUGAAUUUUUUGU
ensembl:miRNA